UACAGAGGGGGCAAGCGUUGUUCGGAAUUACUGGGCGUAAAGGGCGCGUAGGCGGCCUGUUAAGUCGAACGUGAAAUCCCCGGGCUCAACCCGGGAACUGCGUCCGAUACUGGCAGGCUUGAAUCCGGGAGAGGGAUGUGGAAUUCCAGGUGUAGCGGUGAAAUGCGUAGAUAUCGCUUGGAACGCCAACGGUGAAAACAGGUUGCUGGGGGUGUGCUGACGCUGAGACACGAAAGCCAGGGGAGCGAACGGG
rnacentral:rRNA from 1 species